UACGAAGGGUGCAAGCGUUACUCGGAAUUACUGGGCGUAAAGCGUGCGUAGGUGGUGAGUUAAGUCUGUCGUGAAAGCCCCGGGCUCAACCUGGGAAUGGCGAUGGAUACUGGCUCGCUAGAGUGCGGUAGAGGAGAGUGGAAUUCCCGGUGUAGCAGUGAAAUGCGUAGAGAUCGGGAGGAACAUCGGUUGCGAAGGCGGCUCUCUGGACCAGCACUGACACUGAGGCACGAAAGCGUGGGGAGCAAACAGG
rnacentral:rRNA from 1 species